AUUGAACGCUGGCGGCAUGCCUUACACAUGCAAGUCGAACGGCAGCACGGGGGCAACCCUGGUGGCGAGUGGCGAACGGGUGAGUAAUGCAUCGGAACGUGCCCAGUAGUGGGGGAUAACCCGGCGAAAGCCGGGCUAAUACCGCAUACGACCUACGGGUGAAAGCGGGGGACCGCAAGGCCUCGCGCUAUUGGAGCGGCCGAUGUCUGAUUAGCUAGUUGGCGGGGUAAAGGCCCACCAAGGCGACGAUCAGUAGCUGGUCUGAGAGGACGACCAGCCACACUGGGACUGAGACACGGCCCAGACUCCUACGGGAGGCAGCAGUGGGGAAUUUUGGACAAUGGGCGAAAGCCUGAUCCAGCCAUGCCGCGUGCGGGAAGAAGGCUUUCGGGUUGUAAACCGCUUUUGGCAGGAACGAAACGGCGCGGGCCAAUACCCCGCGCUAAUGACGGUACCUGCAGAAUAAGCACCGGCUAACUACGUGCCAGCAGCCGCGGUAACAC
rnacentral:rRNA from 1 species